rnacentral:rRNA from 1 species
GUGUCAGCAGCCGCGGUAAUACCAGCACCCCGAGUGGUCGGGACGAUUAUUGGGCCUAAAGCAUCCGUAGCCGGUUCUACAAGUCUUCCGUUAAAUCCACCUGCUUAACAGAUGGGCUGCGGAGGAUACUAUAGAGCUAGGAGGCGGGAGAGGCAAGCGGUACUUAGUGGGUAGGGGUAAAAUCCGUUGAUCCAUUGAAGACCACCAGUGGCGAAGGCGGCUUGCCAGAACGCACUCGACGGUGAGGGAUGAAAGCUGGGGGAGCAAACCGGAUUAGAUACCCCCGUAGUCC